GUAGUUGGUGGGCGUGAGGGGUUGGACCCGGACCGGGGGCAGCAGCACUUGAUAGAGGGAGGCACUGGGCAGGGAAAGGGAUCGGAGACCUUAUCAGCAGCGCCACCCCCAUCCCUCGCCGUCCCCCUCCUCUCGCCCUGCCUUUAAUUCGGCGCCGCGCACGCCGCACGCUCUUCUGUCUCCUGCUCAGCGCGCGCCGGUGGCUCUGAGCGACCCUCCCCGUGCCUGCCUUAUAGUAGCACCUGCCUCGCAGUCGCGCCUCCAGGCCUAGCUCUUCUUCUUCUAGAUCCCGCCUAGCUCCUGCGCUUAUAAACGCACAGCUAGCAUCUCCUUGUUGUCUGUCUCCUCCCGCUUUGAGGUUAAUUGCUAGAGCUGCAUUCCGCAGUCGCUGAACCUUGAUCCGCAGCACAGCGUCGUCGAGGAGAAGCUUGUGCUGGAGGCAGCUGGUGUAGCCGUGCAGCGGCGGCGGCGAGCCGAAGGAAGCUUCACGCGAGGAGGCGGGCCGAUCGACCGAGAAGCUGGCGGCCGGCAAGUGGUGGGAGCGGCCAGAUGACACGACCAUGGCCGGAAUGGAUCCCGGCGGAGGAGGCAGCUCGCGAUACAUCCACCAACUCCUCCGGCCGCAGCAGCCCUCGCCGCUGUCCCCCAACUCGCACGUCAAGAUGGAGCACCCCAAGAUGUCGCCCGACAAGAGCCCGGUCGGCGAGGCGGAGGGGGGCGGGAGCGGGAGCGGUGCCGGCGGUGACCAGCCGUCCUCGUUAGCCAUGGUUCCGGCCGAGGGUGGCAGCGGCGGCGGCGACAGCUCGGGCGGGCCCACGCGGCGGCCGCGCGGGCGCCCGCUGGGGUCCAAGAACAAGCCCAAGCCGCCCAUCAUAGUGACGCGCGAUAGCCCCAACGCGCUGCACUCACACGUCCUCGAGGUCGCGGCCGGCGCGGACAUCGUCGACUGCGUGGCCGAGUACGCGCGUCGCCGCGGCCGCGGCGUGUGCGUGCUGAGCGGAGGGGGCGCCGUUGUCAACGUGGCGCUCCGGCAGCCGGGCGCGUCGCCCCCGGGGAGCAUGGUGGCCACGUUGCGGGGCCGGUUCGAGAUCCUGUCGCUCACUGGCACGGUCCUGCCGCCUCCCGCUCCCCCCGGCGCGAGCGGCCUCACCGUGUUCCUCUCCGGCGGGCAGGGGCAGGUGAUCGGCGGGAGCGUGGUGGGCUCGCUGGUCGCCGCGGGGCCCGUCGUGCUGAUGGCCGCGUCGUUCGCGAACGCCGUGUACGAGAGGCUGCCGCUGGAAGGGGAGGAAGAGGAGAUAGCCGCGGCUGCCGCUGGUGCGGAUCCGCAAGAUCAACUGGCGCAGUCAGCAGGACACCAAGGGCAGCAGCCGACGGCGUCUCAGUCCUCUGGUGUGACCGGAGGCGAUGCCGGCGGUGGCGGCAUGUCGCUCUACAACCUCACUGGGAAUGUAGCGGGCUACCAGCUCCCCGGAGAUAACUUCGGAGGCUGGAGUGGAGGCGGCGGCGGAGUCAGGCCGCCGCCGUUCUGAUCCAUGCCUUGCCAUCCAAUACUGAGAGCUGCCGGCUUACGGAGCUAAGACAUGCAUGCUAGAUUGUUCAUUGGAGAAACCUUUCAUCUGGGUGCGACACACGUAUGGAUAUAUAACACAAUGCAUGCGUUACAUAUGAGGAGGAUUCAUUGCAAAUCAUCGUGUGUUUUAAAAGGUGGUGGUGAUUGAUCAAGGGACAAAGUAGAAGCUAGAGAUGGAUUCAUGCAAGAGCUAGCUCCUAAUAAAACUAAAGCAAAAACUUCCAAGGGCAUGUUUAGUUUGUCUGAAUUUCUCCUUACGUUUGUUAAAUCCAACUGCGGUGGAAAUUAGUAAUCACUGUCAGAUUCUUUCAAGACCUUCUGUGGAUGAACGAUGAGGCUAGCUUGAGUAUUUCGACGUUCGUCUCUCCGUUGGAGUUUCUGACUUGCAUGCAAAAUGAUGUUUAGUCCGUAAAGACGGAUGACUAAUGAAAGUUGAAUUUGUUAUAUACAAAGAGAGUGGGAAAUCAAACCAGAUAUUUUUAUUGUCUUCUAUAAGAU